GAGGUUUGAUGUUUCAGUGUUUGACAGGCAGAGCUCGUGUGAGAAAGAAGCUUCAUGUUUCGUCAAAAAAUGUGAGCAUGCUGAUGUUGCAAGUGGAAGCAGGACAAAGAGGCAUACACCUAGAGAAUCUUCUUCACGUGAUGUGUCUGAGGCCUCUCCAACAAAGAAACCUAAGUUUGCAGCGACUCCGACAUCAGAGGACACUAGUAAAUCUUCUUCACAUGAUGAGUAUGAGUCCCCAACAAAAAAGAAAACACUUGCAUCGACUUCAACAUCUGAGGACAGUAAUGAAUCUUCUUCGCAUAAUGAGUAUGAGCCCCCAACAAAAAGACAACUAAGCUUGCAUCGACUCCAACAUCUAGAGCACGGGGUGCUAGAGCUAAUGCCAAGUUGCAGUCCUAGGGAAAUCAAAUGUUAUGUCUGGACUGAACUGGACCAUGCCAGGAGCUACAAUGGAGUUAGUAAACUGUUGCAAAAAAUGGGGAGGUAGUGGAAUACAUAAGAAAUGGACUAUUCCAGCUUUUGUGUGGUGGACUAUAUGGCAAGAGAAGAAUGAAAGAGGCUUCGAAGAGAGUUCAGACAUUGAAGAUGAACCGUGUAAAAUACUUAUAUUUUUGGUGCUAAGAAAGAUGUGUAGAAGAUAGAGAACAUUUAUUAAGACUACCUAGAGUCUGUAAAAACUUUGUAAGAAGAACAAGGUUUUAUUUUAAAUUACUACAGUUUGCUUAAAAAUUAAAGUUGGAAAAUUUGACUAUUAAGAACACGCACGUAAAAAAAAUGUGACCAAAAAGGUGAUUUUUCAUGGCAUAUAACUCAUAUUAUUUCAAGAGAAUCAUUCUAGAUAGAGAGCAAUUAUAAGAAACUACAUUUAGAUGUAAGCUGUUCCAGGAUAUUUGACCUUCCAUAGCUAGACAUGGCUGAUGUAAUGAGACAAAUGUUCCAGCUAAUUUCUCAACGCAAGCAUUGUAAGAAAUGCCAUCCAUCCACACCAACACAAGAAAAAAUUGAGUGUUUCGGCCUAUUAUGAUCAGUUGAACCAUUUCAACGCGUCAUUCAUGUAAAACAGCUGGUUCUUAAGAUUUUCUUUCUUCAUCAGCAAUAACUGAGGAGAAGACAAGUACAACUGACCUAGUGAUGGAUGGUAUUGUUGCCACAAGCCAAGCACAUGCAUAUAUCGAAAUCAAAGUCUUGGUUUUGUGUAAUGACCCUUACAGUCAUUUUAUUGUAUUUUUAUAUAAUUUUAGUACUAUCUAAAUGUAUCAUAGAUUAUUCAAUUUAACUUGGCAUUUGGUAGAAAUAUAGUUUAGUACUCUUCUAGUAUAUUUUCGAUAUUGGAAAAAUUCUUCAAGUAAUGAUAUAAUUAUAUCACUUUAUAAUAGACUUUUAUGAUUUAUUAAUAUUUUAAACGGAGAUAGUAAUUUAGAAUUGUGAAAAUAUUAUUAUUAUAUAAUAGAAGUUUUGUUAGAAAUAAUUUUCUAUUAAUUAUGGUAUAUUCAAAAUAUUAUAAUUAUUCAGAUAAGAAGGUGCCGCCUAAGCUUAAAGGCAAAUUCUACAGGGCGGUAGUCCGGCCGGCCAUGUUGUAUGGAGCAGAGUGUUGGCCAGUUAAGAACUCCCACAUCCAAAAGAUGAGGGUGGCAGAAAUGCGGAUGUUGCGCUGGAUGUGUGGGCUGAAUAGAGGGGAUAGAGUUCGGAAUGAGAACAUCCGGGAGAAGGUUGGUGUGACACCAGUGGAGUGCAAGAUGCGGGAAGCCCGAUUGAGAUGGUUCGGACACGUGAAGAGGAGGGGCGUGGAUGCCCCGGUCCGUAGGUGUGAGAGGCUAGCGUUGGAUGGGUUUAAGCGGGGUAGGGGUAGGCCGAAGAAGUACUGGGGUGAGGUGAUUAGGCGAGACAUGGAGCAGUUACAGCUCACCGAGGACAUGACCCUAGAUAGGAAGGUCUGGAGGACGCGAAUCAGGGCAGUGGACUAGGGCCAGUCUGAGUCGCUAGUAUAGGGAACUACUUGGUGGGGGUUUAUUCCUGUUAGGAGUCCGUGUCCCAUGUUGUAUUAUGAAGCUGUGUGCUUUCCUCUGUUUUAUAUUACUUAUGGGUGCCGUAUUUAUGUUAUGUAAUCUUGUAACCUUGUAACCUUGUGCUGUGCUUUACUAUGUGUUUGUGUGGUACCGCGUGUCUCGAGCCGGGGGUCUAUCGGAAACAGCCUUUCUACUUCUUCAGAGGUAGAGGUAUGGACUGCGUACAUCCUAACCCCCCAGACCCCACCAGGUGGGAAUACACUGGGUUUGUUGUUGUUGUUGUUAUUUUAUCAUGAAUUUAUGCAAUACUCGAAUAUAUAUAUGUUGUAUAGAAAAUUAAUGAAUGUGGCCACCACCGCACACUUGGAAACGGAUGGAUGAACCACAUGUUGCUGCCACUUGUUAGACCACCAUAUGAUAUCAUUUGGUGUUUCUAAAAGUAAAACAAAUAAGGAGAGUGGACUUCCAUUCACUGCUUCUAUACAUAUACUUGUCCAUAUCUCUAUUUUCCCAUAUAUUGGCCUUUCUCUAUUUGCUUUUUUUUUAAAAUUAUUUUAGAAAAUCAAUUAAAGUUCUUGGUUAGUCUUAUAAAAUUUCAUAUAAAUUCAUUAUUCGAAUCUAUUAAUCAAGCUUGGGUUCUACUAGUAUUAUUCGGAGGCUUCGCGGAUAGAUAUUCUAAGCUUGGGUUCUACUAGUAUUAUUCGGAGGCUUUGCGGAUAGAGAUUCUAACUUUGGCGUCCAGGUAGGCUAGGUUUACCCUACCUUUAGAUUGAGUUUAUUUACUGAAAUUGUAAACUAUUAUGCUAGCGUUGGAUAGGUUCUUGUAGAUGCGUAUCAUGUGAUUUAUAUAAAUUAUCUUAUUUAUCCGGAUUAGGACCCUGUUCUAGUAAAUAUUGGAAUAUUUUUUUUAUAUAUAAUAUAGCAUCUAUUACUUUAGGAUGUGAAACUAAAAUGUAAAAAUCUUGAAUUUAUCCCUUUUUAAUUAAAAUUGGUGGAUGAUUAUUUAGACGUUAACAUUGUUAUGAUAUGAUAUGGAUUUUAACAUUACCGUUGGGUAUGGUUACUAUGAGUUCCAUUUCGAGUUCGGCAUCUGAUUAUUAUGGUUACUAUGAGUUCCUGUUUGAGUCCGGCAUCUGAUUAUUAUGGUUACUAUGAGUUCCGGUUCGAGUCCGGCAUCUGACUAUUAUUGUUACUAUGAGUUUCGGUUCGAGUCCGGCAUCUGACUAUUAUUGUUACUAUGAGUUCCGGUUCGAGUACGGCGUCUGAUUAUGGUUGUGAUUACUUUGAGUUUCGAUUUGAGUCCGGCAUCUGAUUAUGAGUUUUAUAUAUCUGGCCUCUCGUUACUACCCAUUGGUAUCAGUUCGAGUCCGGUGCACAUCUGGAUGACUAUCAUGAUUUCUUAAGAUCAGUUCGGUUACAAAUUAUUUAUGUUUACUUUCUUUAAUUGCUACUUGUGUGUCCCACUGGCUUAUGGGGGUAUGGUUGGGUUAAUUGUGUUUUUCAGUGUGCCUAACGGGCUUAUGAGGGCCUAGUUAGGUUAUGUUGUGUGCCUAGCGGGCUUAUGGGGGCCCAGUUAGGUUAUGUUUGAUUUGUCUGUAAUUACUGCGUUAUUUAUUUUCUGUAUCGCUUACAGUUAUUUCUCUAUCUCAUUGGCGUAGCUUAGUAGUUAUUUACCUUUCCAUCAUUUUUUAUUGAUGACUUAGAUUACGCCCGCGCGUUGUAGUUAAUACCUUUUCUGUAUUGAUGCGUUGUUUUUAAUACUCAUAUUACACUUCUGCAUCUUUUUUCCUGAUGCAGAUCCAGGCCCUAGUAGUCGACGUUGACGUGAUUACUACCUUCUAGUACUGAUUCGGAGCAGGGUGAGUUUACUGUUUUCCAAGGCUGAUCCUUCUCUAUCUAUUCUGGUUUAGUCUUUUGUAUUCGAGACUGCUUUUGUAUAUUAUGUACAUUUUAGAUUUUUUUCUAAUACUCUAGGUAUAUUUUAGUAAUGGCUCUAGUACCGACCUUACCAGGUCUUGGGAGGGAUUCUUUUGCGUACUUGGUAAUUUUUUUUUUCUCAUUUUAGUAUAUGAGAUAUGGUUACUUUUUAUUACUACUACUAUCAUUAUACUCGAUCUUUUCUGAUUUCUGCCUAUUAGCCCGUUAUCUAUUAUUUCGGGCAAUGGCUUGGCUUGCCUACUAGAGGGGAUAAGGUAGGCGCCAUCACAACUUGAUAAAUCGGUUCGUGACAAAUUGGUAUUAGAGCUUAGGUUUCACCGGUACUGUUGGUACUAGAGCCAAUAUUUAGUAGAGUCCCGCAGAUCAUCACAGAGACGUUUGUAUCCUAUCUUCGGGAGGCUACAGAGCAUUUUUUUGGGAACAAUCUCAUUUUCUUGAUUCAUUUUCGUACAUUGGGUCUGAGUUGAUUUUAAUGUUUAUUGGUUCACUCUUUACAUAGAUAGUUAGGAUGCGAGGAGCGGGAGUCGGAUAUCGGAAUCCCAGUUCUUCUUCAAUAGUUUUAGUUAGGGGUCUAGGUCGACCCAGAGGUCAGGGGUCAGACCAGUUAUAUUGGUUCUAGUGGUUAGAGUAGCAGUAAGUCGUAGUGGGGUACUAAGUCAGCAUCUUCGAGUAAGGGUGGUCAUUCUAGUCCCGCCAGAUCUUCUAGACAGAGUAGGGUGCCCGGGGUAUGUUAUGACAGUGUAGUUGUUGGUCACUUCACCCGUGAGUGUCCUCGGUGUAGGAUGAUUGAUCCAUCAGUUCUGGAUGUGUAGCCGAUUAGAUCAAUGCCGCCGUUAGGUAGGGGUGGUGUACAGGAUCGUGGAGGUAGUUCCCAGGGUACUAGAGAUGGUCUGCAGGGAGGUAGGGCAGGUGGUCGGGCAGGUACCCAGUCUAGUAAUGGACAGGGUAAUUUGUAUGCUGUUCUAGGUAGAUCAGGGGAUGAGGCUUCGGAUGCUGUGAUCACGGGUACGAUUUUCGUGUUCCAUCAGCCAGCUUCUGCUUUGUUUGAUCCCGGUUCUACCUUUUCAUAUGUUUCUGCUUAUUUUGCUUCGCGACUGGGUUUAUGUUCGGAGUCUUUAUCUGUGCUGUUACGUGUGGCUACCCUAGUGGGCGAUUCUUUAGUAGUGGAUCGGGUAUAUAGAUCUUGUUUGGUGACUAUUCGAGAGUUUGAUACUCAGAUUGACCCCAUUGCACUAGAUAUGGUUGAUUUUGAUGUGAUUAUAAGCAUGGAUUGGUUGUGUCCUUACCAUGCGGUCUUGGAUUGUUUUGCUAAGACCGUUACUUUAGCUUUGCCUGGCAUACCCCCUAGUUGUGUGGCAGGGUUCUGUUAGUCGCGCACCAACGGGGAUUAUUUCAUACAUCCAGGCUAAGAGAUUGGUAUUGAGGGGUUGCGAGUCAUUUCCUGCCUAUAUUCGGGAUGUAAGUGCUGAGAGUUCCCCGCUUGACUCCGUCCUUGUUGUUUGGGAGUUUCCUGAUGUAUUUUUGACCGACCUACUUGGCCUUCCUCCCGAGUAUGAUGUAGAGUUUAUCAUUGACCUUGAGCCAGGCACCCGACCUAUUUCUAUUGCUCCAUAUCGUAUGGCUCCUGCUGAGUUGAAGGAGCUGAAUAGUCAGCUUCAGGAUCUUCUGGGUAAGGGUUUUAUCAAACCGAGUGUAUCUCCUUGGGGUGCUCCAAUUUUGUUUGUGAAGAAGAAAGAUGGCUCCUUGCAUAUGUGUAUCGACUACAGGCAGUUGAAUAAGGUUACUGUGAAGAAUAAGUAUCCUAUGCCUCGUAUUGAUGAUUUGUUUGAUCAACUUCAGGGUGCGGCAGUGUUUUCUAAGAUUGAUUUGAGGUCCAUUUACCAUCAGUUGAGAGUUAGGGCUACAGACAUCCCUAAGACAACCUUCAGGACUCGUUAUGGUCAUUAUGAGUUCCUGGUGAUGUCUUUUGGGUUGACCAAUGCUCCAACAGCUUUUAUAGAUCUGAUGAAUCGCGUGUUCAGGCCAUAUUUGGACUCCUUCGUGAUAGUAUUUAUUGAUGAAAUUCUAGUAUAUUCGAGGAGUAAGGAGGAGCACGAGCAGCAUUUGAGGACUGUACUCCGCACUAUGAGAGACCAGAGGCUUUAUGCCAAGUUCUCAAAGUGUGAGUUUUGGCUUGAGUCUGUAGCUUUCUUGGGGCACGUAGUGUCCAAGGACGGUAUUAUGGUAGACCCAACCAAGAUUGAGGCUAUUCGUGGUUGGGAUAGGCCUACUUCACCUUUUGAGGUUCGCAGCUUUAUUGGGUUGACAGGUUACUACAGGCGGUUCAUUGAGGGAUUUUCUUCUAUUGCAGCCCCUAUGACUAGAUUGACCAGGAAGGAGAUUCCGUUUUGGUGUUCUGCGAGUUGUGAGGCGAGCUUUAUGAAGCUCAAGGAUUUGCUUACUUCAGCUCCUAUUCUGAAUCUUCCUGUUGAGGGCGAGGGUUUAACUGUCUAUUGCGGUGCGUCUAGUGUUGGUUUGGGGUGUGUUCUAAUGCAGCGUGGCCGUGUUAUUGCAUAUGCAUCGAGACAGUUGAAGGUGCGUGAGUGAAACUACCCCACUUAUGACUUAGAGUUGGCAGCGGUAGUAUUUGCGCUUAGGAUCUAGAGGCAUUACUUAGAUAGGGUUCGUUGUGAGAUAUUUACUGAUCAUCGCAGUCUGCAGUAUAUUAUGACCCAGAGGGAGCUUAAUUUGAGGCAGAGCAAGUGGAUUGAGUUGCUGAAAUAAUAUGAUAUCUCUAUUCUCUAUUAUCCGGGCAAGACGAAUGUGGUAGCAGAUGCCUUGAGUCGAAAGUCAGUGAGUAUGGGUAGCUUAGCGUUCAUUGCAGCUUCUCAGCGGCCGUUGGCUUUGGACAUUCAGCCCUUAGAUAACAUGAUGGUUCGUUUGGAUAUUUCUGACCCUCAGGGAAUCAUUUCUAGUGUUGAGGCCAGAUCUACCUUGUUGGAGAAAAUUCAGAGUCGUCAGUUCGAGGAUGGCAAGCUUCGUAGCAUUUGAGAGCAGGUGUUGAGGGGUGAAUUUCAGCAGGCUACCCUAGAUUUUGAGGGUGUCUUGAGGUUUGACGGUCGUAUUUGUGUUCCAAGGGUUAGGGAUUUGAUCUAGUUGAUUCUUCGUGAGGCUCAUAGCUCCAGAUACUCUAUUCACCCCGGGACAGCUAAGGUGUAUAGAGAUUUGAGGCAACAUUACUGGUGGAUUGGUAUGCGGAAAGAUAUAGCAGGGUUUGUGGCACGAUGUAUUUGUUGUCAGCAGGUGAAGGCCGAGCAUCAGAGACCUGGUGGAUUGCUUCAGCAGCUACCCAUUCCCGGUGGAAGUGAGAGGGAGUUACUAAGGAUUUUGUAGGUGGAUUGCCUCGUACUUCACGUGGUUUUGAUAGUAUUUGGGUUAUCGUGGAUCGAUUGACCAAGUCUGCACAUUUUAUCCCUAUUCGAGUUUCCUAGAGUGCCGAGAGGUUAGCCCGUGUUUAAUUUCAGGAGGUGGUUCGCCUGCAUGGGGUUUCUGUGUCCAUUAUCUCUGACCGAGGCUCUCAAUUCACUUCUAGCUUUUGGAGGACAUUUCAGGAGGAGUUGGGAACCCAGGUAGACCUUAGCACAGCCUUUCAUCCCCAGACGGAUGGGUGGUCAGAGCGGACUAUCCAGGUCUUAGAAGAUAUGCUACGCACUUGUGUGUUGAAUUUUGGAGGUUAGUGGGACUAUUUUCUACCUUUGGCAGAGUUUGCAUAUAAUAAUAGCUUUCACUCGAGUAUUCAGAUGGCCCUAUCGAGGCAUUGUAUGGUAGGCGAUGUCGUUCUCCUAUUGGUUGGUUUGUGUAAUGCCCCACAAAAUCCUCUUCCAAUCUGAGCCUUAGAGCGUAUUUGGUAAAGCGAGAAUCUGAGUCUAAAUGUUUUAGAAAUAUCUUCCCAAGUAUGAAAUAGUUUGAAUCGUGUGGGAAUCUAUUUGAGCAUGAAUUAAGAUCAUAGAGGUCCCCUAACUCAAGGACGAGUUGAAAUCUUUCCUAUUGUUCAAGUUUUAGUGAGCGCCAAAACUUUGGUAAACUUCAAUCGACCAUAACUCUUUGUAUAUAUCGAAUUAGAGGACCUACUAUAUAUCGAAUGAAAUCUCUUUGAAUUAUCUUUCCAACGAUACCAAAUUCGUUAAAAAUUGAUAUCGGAGCAAAGAGUUAUGCCCAUUUUACUCCAGCAAGUCAUGCUGGAAAACUGAGUGACGACAUUCGUGAUAAGCCGUCACGCCCGUGAUGACCUAUCACCAAUGUCGUCAACCUUGGGCAGAUUUGUACCCCUGGUGACGACAUUUUGUGACAAGCCGUCACGCCCGUGAUGGCCUAUCACCAAUGUCGUCAACCUUAACCAGAAACUUAAAAUUUCACCCGAUAAUUCGUGACGGCCUAUCACCAACUUGACGGCUUGUCACAGAUGUCGUCGGCUAUUUUUUUCAGCAAUUUAAGGACGUUUUUGCAAGGGUAUUUUGGUCAUUUACCACUUUUUGGAGGUCUCUAUAAAUAUGAGCAUCCACCUCUAAACCCUAAUUUCUCUAUCUUCUCUCUCAAUUCUCUUAAGAAGAUAUAACUAGGGUUUAUUCAAGAACACUAAUCUUCCAAAAAUCAUCCAUAAAUUCUUCAAAAUUUCUUCAAGAAUUAAGUUCCUCUUAGUGUGGGCUUCGAGAAUUAUUUAUUACAAGUGCGGAUAGAGUCUCAAGCAUUAGAAUUCAUCCAAUUUCAAAGAUUAAGGUAUAUAGAUGUUGAUUCUUGGGUCCCUUUCAUCCAAGAAGCUCAAGAACCCUUUUCAAAACUCAAAGAUUUUUAUGUUUAUGAGUUUUUAAUGAUUUGUAUGAGUUGAAAUUGAUGUUACAUGUGUUGUUGAGUUUUGAUUCAUGUUUGUUUACAAGAUUCAUGGGCCUUGACCCUAGUAGGUGGAAUCCAUGUGAAAUUUGUGAUGAAUCUUCCUUAUGUUGCUUUCUAUGUGAUGUGUUCAUAUCAAAUGGGUGUAGAAAUGGUUGAAUAAGCGAAGCAUGUUCCCCCUAGGUUUAAUAAAGAGCUUAGGUGAAGCAUAAGGGCCAUUGUAGCAUGUUGAAGAUGAAACCCCAAAUUAUGAGUUAAUUUAUGCAUGCCUAGUGUUUGAUAAAGUGCCCAAGUGAAUGAAUGGUAGGAAAUCCCCAAAUAAGUGUGAACCCGUGCAUGUCUAGUGUUUGUUGAAGGACCUUAGUGAAUAAGUGGAUAUGUGAUAGUAGUAAAUUCCCCAUUAUGUGCUCUUGAUACAUGCUAAGUUUUUUAUACAUGCCAAGUGGUUAGCAAGUAAGUUAUGACAUGAUAGUAUGAAGUUUCCCCAAGCCAUGUGAUAUCCAAACACAUGUCAAGAAUGAUUUAGGUAUGAAAUAGUUGAGGUAAAACCUUGUUGAAUGGAGUACGAUCUAGUAGCAUGUUUUCCCUACGUUAUUAUAUGAUUGUGAUUCAGAGAUGCUUAAAGUGACCCCUUGGCGAUUGUGAUGAAUGGAUGUUUGUGAUCCUCAAAUGCUUGAGGUAUGUCUUAAUGACUGUGAGAUGCUUUAAUGAUUGUGAUGAUAAACGAAUGCUUGUUUAGUUUAGAUAAUGUGCAUGCAUGAGCCCUUGCAUUAGCCUACCUCGUCUACAUACUCGGUACAUUCCUGUACUGACGCAUUUGGGCUAUGGUGUUUUAUUUGACACCAUAGGUUCAGAGGCACAGGAUCCAGAGUAUCCUCAGCAGUUUAGUCCCAGUCAGCAGCAGUAGCAGUGAGUCCUCUUCUUUCGAGGACGAAUCUCAGUUUACUAUUAUUGUUUCAGACUUUGUUUAUUUUUAGUUGACAGAGUUAGUUGGGAACCUGUCCCAUCAACUCCACAGUUCAGACGAUUUAGAGUUUUUUCAGACGGAUGUAUUAGUAUUUAGUUUUCUGUAUUAUGAGUAUUCAUAGAUGUGUUGAACCUUAUGGCUAGUUUCCACAUUUAUUUUCGAUAUUAUGCAGUGUACAGGUACAUGUAUUAGUAAAGGAUUAGCUUGUGGUCCUUCGAGGUCAUAAGCACCGUGUGACAUCUUGGGAUGGGAUCCCGGGGCGUUACAGUUUGAGACUUCUGAGGCUAUGCCUCGUGGCACAGAUUUGCUUUGUGAUUUGUUGGAUUGUGUUCGAGCGAUUCAGGAUAGGCUACAAGCAGCUCAGAGCAGACAGAGGAGUUAUGCUGAUCGCAGACGUCGUCCAUUGAGUUUUAUAGUUGGUGAUAAGGUCUUUUUGCAAGUAUCGCCAUGAAGGAUGUGAUAAGGUUCGUUUUAGUAUAUGAGAUAUGGUUACUUUUUGUUUGUUACUUUUUAUUACUACAACUAUCAUUAUACUCGAUCUUUUCUAAUUUCUGCCUAUUAGCCCGUUAUCUAUUAUUUCGGGCAAUGGCUUGGCUUGGCUUGCCUACUAGGGGGAUAAGGUAGGCGCCAUCACGACUUGAGAAAUCGGUUCGUGACAUUUUGUUUUUCCGAAACCACAGUAGAGACCCUAAGAGUGCCAGUGAUAUACGAAAAAACUGAAAUGACAAUCAUAGAAUAAGGCGAAAAGUAGCAAUGUAGGGCAUUGCAUUCAAGGUGCUCAUUGAUUUAUGAAAUUCAAUAACUAAUGCUGUUUAUCCCUUUUCGCUUGUGUGCGCGUAUAUUUGUUUAUUUCCAGGUUGGGAGGGGUUUUGAAGAGUAGGGGGUGUUUCUCUUUGUACUACAAAGGAGCAUUAAUUUGACAAAAUUUUUUUUUACCAAAUUAACAUUAGUGUCUAGGCUGUGCAAUACUUAGUCCCAUGUAAACUCCAGUCCUCUAGCAGCCACCCAAAGAGGUGCCAAAUCUCAUGUUAGAGAGGCGUGUAAAGGAAUGCGAAAUAUUUUCUUGAAAAAUAAGAUGGUGAUGGUACCUAUCAAGGAGAUGUCCGACGUGUUUACUGUGAAGAAGAGAGAGAAUUUUCAAAUGGUUCGUGGGUGAGGCUAAAGAGGGGGACUUACAAAGGAGAUCUUGCACAGAUUGUGAAUGGAGAUGAUAUACGUCGAAGAGUGACCGUGAAGUUGAUUCCCAGGAUUGAUUUUCGGGCUCUGGUUAACCAGUUUGAUGGUAUAAAAAUACCGAAGGAGGAGAAGUUCUUCCCUCCCGCGAGAUUCUGGAGUGCUACUAAAGCUAAGGCGUUGGGGAUUCCAGUAACGCGGCAGAAAGAUUCGGUUACUGGUGAUUACUUUGAUACAGUGAAUGGUAUGAAGUUUCUGAAAUUCAAGGAUGGGCUUUUGUAUAAGUCAGUGUCCAUUAGGUCAAUUGGUUACAAGGUUCAUCCAACUCUGGAUGAUCUAGAGAAAGAUUAUCUUUUUCCACAUUGCCCGUGAAAAAUCUGAGAAAGAAACACUUCAAGGAAGGAGAUCGAGUGGUUGUUCUGAAAGGAGAACUAAAAACCAUACAGGGAAUAGUUCUGAGAGUUGACGAUGAUGUUGUUUACCUUAAACCGGAGAGUGAAGGUCUGCCUCAGAGUGUUGCAAUUCACAGCAAAGAUUUGUGCAAGAUAUUUGAACUUGGAGAUUAUGUUAAAGUUGUUUCUGGUGGUAAGGAAGGAGCAACUGGUGCUAUUACUUCAGUUAAAGGACAUGUAGUCACUGUAUUGCCUGACAAAUCUAUCAACACAUUUGAUGUGUUGGCUGAUCAUGUCGAGGAAAACUCUGAGGUUGCAUAUUCUCGAGUACCACCAAGAUCAGUAUCGAUACCCAAUGUCAGACCUCUACCUCCUCCAAAGAAAGGAAAUGUAUAUGGAGAUGUAAGAUCAGCAUCAAUAGCCAAUUUCAGACAUCCACCUUCACCUCAGAAGAAAGGAUACGGCUUUGGAAGAGCAAGGCGUGAUCCAUUGCUGAAUGCUCGAAUCAAAAUCCGUCAAGGACUUCAUAAUGGAAUGGUUGGGAGAGUUGUUGAAGUUAGAGGGCAUAGAGUCAGGGUAGAAUUGGAGGCUCAGAUGAAUCAUGCUUAUGUUGAUCGAAGUGAAAUUUAUGAGAUUGGGGAAGCGGAUAACUCUAUUUGCCCGGAAGAACACUAUGGUCUGGGGAGUGAAACUCCUGUGUAUUGUCUAAGAACACCACUCCGUCCAUGGAUGACUCCAGCAAGAGAUGCACCUGCAAAACCUAUUCAUGAAGAAAUGAGAACACCUAUACGAAGUUGAGCAUGGAAUCCUUGCAGCUAAUUGUAGUACUUAGUAUUCUUUUAGUCCUUACUUAUUCCUAGUUUCUUCUUUCUGAAUGUAAACACACAUUACGUUUACUCUGCAAUAUAAUAUUUGGUAGUUCGAUAUGCAGAGUUGGUUUUACGCUAAUGGCAACAUUUAUAAGAGUGAUAAAAGAACAGGUUCUAAUGAAUCUAAAGUAGUAACAAAACUAGUGCUACUGUAUAUCAUUCUUUCUACAGUGAAAUACUGAUUUCUCAUUCCAGAAGAUGUUUCAAUUUCUGUUUUUAUAUAUGCAGAACAGAUGUUUCAUGGAAAUUGAACUAAGAUGCUUGACUUAUUACAAAGACACUUCUUCUUGUGCCAGUAUUUUAUAAGUGCAAGCUUCCUAAAGUAAAAUACAGUGGUUUCAUUUCAUAUUUUAUUAAUAGGUGCAUUUGGAAUCGAUUGAAGUUGUAUUACUGAUAAUUGAUUUUCAUGUCACAGUGUUCGGCAACUUAAAAAGGGAGGACAAGCAGAUAGCAGCUGUCUCCUUUACGUGGACGUAGAAGCUGUGGCAACAUUGCUACUUUUCUCCUUAUUCCAUGAUGUCAUUUCAGGUCUUCUGGCAGCACUAGGUCUCUAUUGUGGCUUCGCAAAAACGAACCCAAGACUUUGAUUCCUAUAUAUAUGCAUCUGCUUGGCCUGUGGCAACAAAUACCACCCAUUACUAGGUCAGUUGUACUCGUCUUCUCAUAAGUUAUUACUGAUGAAGUAAGAAAAUCUUAAGAACCAGCUGCUUUACCUGAAUGACACGUUGAAAUCUCUUUUGUUAUAACUUGAGUAGGCUGACAUUUCUUAAAUGCUGGCAUUGAGAAAUUGAAAGGCUAUUUUUACCUCAGUUAGCUGGAAUUUUUGUCUCAUAACAUAAGCCAAGUCUAUCUUUGGAAGGUCAAAUAUCCUGGAACAACUUUCAUCUAAAUGUAGUUCCGUAGAAUUGCUCUCUGUCUAGAAUGAUUCUCUUGAAAAUAUAUGAAUUAUAUGCCAUGACAAAUCACCUAUUUGGUCACAUUUUUUCGAUGUCAGAUGUUCUUAACAGUCAAAUUUUCCAGUUUUAAAUUUUUAAGCAAACUGUAGCAUACUCAACUUCUUAAAAGAUAUAUAAUUCAAGCAAAAACUCAGCCUUUUCUGUGGACAUACAGCACACUAACGGAAUUUGAACUUCAAAUUACCAGAAAUACCAUGGUCAAAAAGCAUCUACUCAACUAUCGAAAACACCAAAUGACACAAACAUUUGAUUCCCCUAGGACCGCAACUUGGCAUUAGCUCGAGCACUCCGUGUUCUAGAUGUUGAAGUCGAAGCAAGCGUAGUUUUCUUUUCUGUUAGGGGCUCACACUCAUUAUGUGUAGAAGAUGCAUUAGUGUCCGCAGAUGUUGAAGUCGAUGCAAGUGUUUUCUUUUUUCCUGGGGGCUCAUACUCAUCAUGUGAAGAAGAUUUACUAGUGUCCUCUGAUGUCGGAGUCGCUGCAAGGUUAGGUUUCUUUGUUGGAGGGGCCUCAUACACAUCGCGUGAAGAAUAUUCUCUAGGUGUAUGCCUCUUUGUCCUGCUUCUACUUGCAACAUCAGCGUGCUCACAUUUUUUGACGAAACAUGAAGCUUCUUUCUCGCACAAGCUCUGCCUAUCAAACACUGAAACAUCAAACCUCGAUCCAUUAUACUUGAAUAUUAACAAGUCAUCUUCCUCUAGGGAAUGGGCGUCCACGAAUUCUUUCCACCCAUCUUUGAGGAAUAAUGCAUCUCCAAUUAGAGUCAGUCUGACAUUCCAAGUUGCACCACUAGGUCCUGUCAGACUAACAGAAUCUCCUAGCUUUUCUCUCAGAUUGUUGGCAAAUUUUUUGGGAAUGGCCUACAAUUUCAUCAUUUCUUGUUAAGAUUCACGUUUGGUGUAAAAUAAACUAGCUAAGAUGGAAUCCAAAUAAAUCAAAAGGAGCAAAUAGAAACAUGGAAAGUUUUCUAGUCUGCAACAACACACACACAGAGUAAAGGUUAAGGUUUGUACUUGGAAUAUUUUUUUCCCGGAUAGUGAAAAUCACUGAAGGGGAGCCUUGGAGUAACUGGUAAAGUUGCUGCCAUGUGACCGGUAGGUCACGGGUUCAAGCCUUGGAAACAGCCCCUUGGAAACAGCCCCUGACAAAAAUGCAAGGUAAGGCUGUGUACAAUAGACCCUUGUGGUGGGGCUCUUCCCCGGACACCGCGCAGAGCGGCAGCUUAGUGCACCGGGCUGCCGUUUAUAGUGAAAAUCACUAUGAACAAGGCAUCGAACUAACAUAUAGUAACACGAAAACAAUACUAUUGUUACAACAACCCAAGAUAGAAUGGGACAUUUAAACAACUAUAGUCAUAACAAAUUAUUUUCCUCGUAAUGAUGCAGAAAGCAACAAUUGACAAGUAAACCAUGAUGUUUCACAUUUAAAUUUCAGGGGAGGCAACUCAUUAUGUUAGGUGAUUUCUUUUCAUAUGUGCAAACCUUGGUGGAUAGUGUUACCAUAUUGUAGGGGAGUUGAUUUGUUAGAUGGUCAUUCAUUUAAUAAUUAUUAUUUUAGAAAGUCAGAUAAUAACUAUAGCUCAAUAACCAUAUGCGAAAUCAAUUCCCUGUGGGAUGUUCAUAAUUCGGUUAAAAAUUGAUCCAAUAGGAUUAAACAAACCAAUACUUUUAGAGGUUGAGUCAGAUUUUUAAUUUUAAAAAUCGACAACAAUAUUUGAUUUGAUUUUAUUAAAAAAACUAAAGCAGAAAUCGAACUAAACAGAAAAUUAAAUACAUAAUAUUAUAAUUAUAUAUACACAGUAUGUUUUCUUGUUAAAUUUGACAUAUCUUAUAUUUUUUUGGUCAAAAAUUUAUUUAUGAUUCAAUAAUUAUUAAGUUAAGAAAAAAAUCUUAGUCUCAAAAUUUAAUAUAAUUGCCCAACCAUAGUCGUGCUAUGUUAUUUUAUUGAUUUUGAUGAUUGUAUCUCUAUUUGAAAAGGAAAAAGGGUGUUUCAAAUUGAAUUCAAUAAAUUUACAAUUCAUCUCUCCAUUUUCUAUAAAAGGAAGGUGGGAGCAUAAUUUCGUUCCCAAUAGGGAUCUUGUUUUUUUUUUUUUUUGCCUUUUCAUUUUUUCUCAUCCGAACAUCACAACUGUAUCAACAACAACAUACCAAGUAUAUUUCAACAACGUGGAGCCUGAGAAUGGUAAAGCGUAUACAGUCUCUCCUCGUGAUCCCUGCUCCCCACAAACUUCGCAUAAGCAACCUUCUUAGUCUCCACCUUCCUCUUAACUUCUUCGUUCCACCACUAGUCCCCCCAGUCCCCCCGUUGCUUGCCCGAUCGGACUCUCGAGACACACAAUACCUCUCUAGCUGUCUCACCGAUGCAACUGAUAGUAAUCUCCCACAUACUAUCCACAUCCCCUCUAUUCUCCCAAGCCCCUUGGUCGGCAACUUCUCUCCAAUCUCCACCGCACUUGCCAAAGUCAAGCUACCUCACUUAAUUCUGGGUUGAUCCUCCAUAACCCUCUUCAUUUCCCCAUCUUGAUUUCCAAGUCCAACACCAAAAGCUUAUGUUAGAUCAAAAAGAUUCUCACUAGGUAUGACCAUACAGUCUUUACAUAGCACUCAACACUCUAUCACUCUUUCUAAGGAGCAAAAAAUCUAUUUGAAUCUCGGCCAUCGAACUACGAAAAUUAAUAAGGUGCUCUUCCUCCUUUGCGAAGAACGAAUUUACUAUCACCAAACCAAGGGCCCUAGAAAAAUCAAAAAAUGAGGCUCCUCCUCCAUUUCUUUUCCAGAAACUGAAUCCUCCCUACACAUCAUCACAACCUCUCGAUAAUAACCCGAUAUGCCCAUUGAAAUCGUCUUCUAUGAAAGGUUUCUCAGCGCUUGGAACGCCUCUCACCACCUCGUCCAGAAUCUCCAAAAUGCUCAUUUUCUCUUACUCAUCCAAGCCUAUUUGCCGAGUAUAUAUAGGCACUAAUAACGUUCCACGUAGACUCUCUAAUGACCAACUUAAUCGACAUCAACCUAUCAUUGACCCGCUUAACCUUCACCGCCUACCCCCUAAGCUCUUCAUCUAUUAAGAUACCUACCCCAUUCCUAUGCCUCACGCUACCCCAUUCCUAUGCCUCACGCUACGAGAGCACCACAACUUGUACCCAUUCACAUCCUUCGCCUUAGACCCUACCCAUUUGGUCUCCUGGACACAAGCUAUACCAAUCCUCUUCUUCCUAAGAAUCUUCAUGAGAUAUAUAGACUUACCUUGAAGAGUUCCUAUGUUUCAAAACCCAACUUUCAACCUAUAGGCUCCCUUAUCACACUUAUCCCUACUACCCUUCACCUCCAAUCCAAGCUCGACCCUGACCCUGACCUCAGCCUGAACCUCAAUCUCAGCCCCAACCCCGACCAAUGACAUGACCCUAGUCUACCAUCGACCACCAAAUCCACUACUCAAUAAGAGAAAAAAUAAAAAGGCGUGCAAAUAGGUAAAGUUCAGCAACAACAACAAAAAAAACAUACCCGGUGGAAAAUAAAAUUUGAACUCUUUAGCAACAACAAAAACAACACAUAGCAAAAAGGUAAAGUCACUCUUUUCCCCCAAAAAAAAUUCUGAAAAUUAUUUUUUAAAAAAUCAAUAAGGACUUGAAAUUCCGCUAAAUUUCCUCCACAUAGCAAGCCUCAUUAGAAAAUAAAAUGAGCUUUUACACUUACAAGUUGUUGAUCAAAAAUUCCAGAGAGAAUCUGAAAAAAUUGAACCACUUGAAACUCUGACCAGUACAUUUGCUCUUUCCAUUUCUUGCAAAUCUUACACUCACUCCUCAUUCUGCUAAAGGAAAAAAACUGAGUGAAAAAAAUGGAAAAUAAGAAUUUCUUUUUUGCAAAUCCUCUAUUCGAUAUAUUGAUAGUUCUAGGGAGAAGUUGAUAAGGUACGGCAUCGAGAUUCGAGACUAGUGGUGUACGAAUUAUGAAAGCAUUGUUUUCGUUGCACUAUAAAUAUGACAAUAAAAUAAGAACAACGGAGAAGGGAAAAGAAAGGAAAUUAUGUGUGCACUAUAAAGAAAAUCAAAAAGAAGAGAAAAGUUGCAAAAUUUUAUAGGAUCUUCCUUAGACCUUCCGGGAGGAACUGAGGUUGGGACAAGAGAAUCAGAUGUUAGGGAAACAUUGUUGCGUCAGUCGAAAUUAGGGCUUAUCUAAUUGAAUCAGAAAAGCACAUACAUGUAAAAUGACGAAAUUCUUUCAGUGAGAGAAUCACUUGUUAGAUUAAAUCCAAGGAUAGGUUUGAUUGACAGGGUGUUGGAUCUAACGAACAACGAGUAGUUUCUUAAUGAGCGAAUUCAGUCCUAUAAUCAUCACGAAAAAUGCACAAUGGGAAGGGAUGUUGGUCUGCUUAGACUGAAGAAGCAGCGGCUAUCAUUUCUGAAAUAUAAAAUCAAGAACAACCUUCGAAUAACAGAGGAAUAAAGCUAUUAAAAAAAGAAUUUUCCAAGAAUAGAAAAUUGUAAUCCCUUUCUGGUGCCAAAUACUUACAUUGGUAAUAUCGAAAAUAAAUGAAAAGAGAUUGGUGUCGACUUCCAGAAAGUCUGAAACUCUUGCCCCCACUAGAUCUUUUAUCUCAAUCGUGUCAUCACGGUAGUAAUGUAUAUCCAAUCUUUAGAUUUUUUCCUUUUCAAUGAAGGCGAUUUCUAUCUUUGCAAUUCUUUAAUUUCUUUCUUAAGCAACUUAUUAGCUUGAAAUCAUUCGUUUCUUUUAAAACUUUUAUCAUUUAGUAGGCUUUCACGUGGCGCAAAUUCAUAUUAGUAUGCACUAAAUAUAAAAUAUAAAAUGGUCAACUAAAGUCUCAAAGGACUAUAAAAUCUACUUCCAUUCCAACUCUAGUACUCUUUUGCCAUUUUCAACUCCCAAUGCUCUUUUUGUUGAUACUCUUUAGACUUUCAAGUCUCUCUAAUUCUCCAAGUUUAUAAUCAACAUUUCUACAAUAAGAUGAAUUCUUAAUUAAAAAAAUAAAAUAAAAAGUGUUCUAUUCUUCAAAGAUUUGAAAUCACAUAAAUAUUCAUGAUUAAAGUCUCCUUAUUUCUCAGUCCUAAGCUAAGUCUUCUUCAAUGACCGAUCACUUUUUAGCAAAUUUAAGUAAAGUCUUAAAGGAAACAAAAGAUUUCAAGCUAACAAGCUGCUUAAGAAAGAAAUUAAAGAGUUGAAAAGACGUUUGAGAAAGAAAAAAUCUAAAGAUUGGACAUACAUCACUAUCGUGAUGACACGAUUGAGAUGAGAGAUCUGGUAGGGCCUUUAGGAAAAUUCAAGAGUUUCAGACUUUCUAGAAGUCGACACUGAUCUUUUUUCAUUUGUUUUUGAAAUUACCAAUGUAAGUAUUUGACACCCAAAAGGGAUUGCGAUUUUAUAUUCUUGGAGAAUUGCUUUUUUUAAUAGCCUUAUUCCUCCUUUAUCCGAAGGUUGUUCUUGAUUCUUGAUUUCAGCAAUGGUAGUCGCUGCUUCUUCAGUCUAUGCACACUAGCAUGCCUUCCUAAUGUGCAUUUUUCGAACAAAGAAGACGAUUAUAGGAUUGAAUUCGCUCAUUAAGAAACCACCCGUUGUUUGUUCGAUCCAACACCGUGCCAAUCAAACCUAUCCUUGGAUUUAAUCCAACAAGUGAUUCUCUCCAUGAAAGAAUUCCGUCGUCUCACAUGUAUGUGCUUUUCUGAUUCAAUUACAUAAUCCCUAAUUUCGACCGACUGAACAAUCUUUCCCAAACAUUAGAUUCUCUUGUUCCAAUCUCAUUCCUCCCAAAAGGUCAAAAGAGCCUAUAAAAUUUGGCAACUUUUCUCUUCGUUUUGAUUCUCUUUCUAGUGCACACAUAAUUUUCUUUCUUUUUCCUUCCUCCGUUGUCCUUAUUGUAUUGACAUAUUUAUAGUGCGAUGAAACCAAUGUUUUCGUAAUUCAUACACCACUAGUUCCGAAUCUCGAUACCGCAUCUUAUCAACUUUUCCCUAGAACUAUCAAUAUACCGAAUAGAGGAUUUGCAAAAAAGAAAUUCUUUAUUUUCCAUUUUUUCACUCAGUUUUUCUUUUCCUUUAGCAGAAUGAGGAGUGAGAGUAAGAUUUGCAAGAAAUGGAAAGAGCAGAUGUGAGGUUCAAUUUUUCAGAUUCUCUCCGGAACUUUUGAUCAACAACUUGUUAGUGUAAAAGUUCCUUUUAUUUUCUAAUGAGGCUUGCUAUGUGGAAGAAAUUUAGCAAAAUUUCAAGUCCCCUCUGAUGUUUUAAAAAAUGAUCUUCAGAAUUUUUUUGCGAAAAAUUGUCACUUUACCUUUAUGCUAUGUGUUGUUUCCAUUGUUAUAGAGUACAGAUUUUAUUUUUACACUGGGUAUGUUGUUGUUGUAGAGUUCAGAUUUUUGAGUGUUAGUUCAGAUUAGUGCUUUCGUCUUGAUAUUCUUUCUUGUGUUCCCCGAUUUCUAGCAGAUUCCAUAUUAGGGCGUGUUAUAAACCAUUGUUUCCUUUUAAGACUUGCCUAUUUGUUUUUUAGCCUUAUCUAUUUGUGCGCUUUCUUAUUUGUUCCUCUUAUUGAGUAGUGGCUUUGGUGGUUAAUGGUAGACUAGGGUCAUGUGAUACGUCGGGGUUAGGAUGGGGUUGUGAUCGAGGUCAGGGUGAGGUCAAGGUCAAGUUCAGGAUCAGGGUCUGGGUUAGGGUUGAGCUUGGGGUUGAGGGUGAAGGGCAGUAGGGAUAAGUGGGAUAAGAGAGCCUAUAGGUUAAGAGUUGGGUAGUGGAACUCUUCAAGGUAAGUCCAUAGAGCUUAUAACACUAUCCACCAAGGUUUGGACAUAUGAAAAGAAAUCACUUAAUGUCUUGCCUCCGGUGAAAUUUAAAUCUGAGACAUCAUGGUUUACUUGUCAAUUGUUGCUUUUACGGAGGCGCUACCCUCGAAGAAUAACUUGUUCACUUGUUCUGCAUCAUUACGAGGAAAAUAAUUUGUUAUGCAUAUAGUUGUAUAAACAUCCCAUUUCUAUCUUGGGUUGUUGUAACAAUAGUAUUGUUUUAGUGUUACUGUAUGUUAGUUCGAUGUCUUGUUCAUAGCAAUUUUCACUAUCUGGAAAGAAAACUAUUCCAAGUACAAAUCUUUACUCUACUGUGUGGUGCUGCAGACUAGAAAACUUUCCAUGUUUCUAUUUGCUCCUUUUGAUUUAUUUGGAUUUUGGCCAAUCUUAGCUAGUUUAUUUCACACAAAACGUGAAUCUUAACAAGGAAUGAUGAAAUUGCAGGCCAUUCCCAAAUUUGCCAACAAUCUGAGAGAAAAGCUAGGAGAUUCUGUUAGACUGACAGGACCUAGUGGCGCAACUUGGAAUGUCGGACUGACUCUAAUUAGAGAUACAUUAUUCCUCAAACAUGGGUGGAAAGAAUUCGUGGGCACGCCCAUUCCCUUGAGGAAGAUGACUUGUUAAUAUUCAAGUAGAAUGGAUCCUCGAGGUUUGAUGUUUCAGUGUUUGAUAGGCAGAGCUCGUGUGAGAGAGAAGCUUCAUGUUUCGUCAAAAAAUGUGGGCAUGCUGAUGUUACAAGUGGAAGCAGGACAAAGAGGCAUACACGUAGAGAAUAUUCUUCACGUGAUGUGUCUGAGGCCCCUCCAACAAAGAAACCUAAGCUUGCAGCGACUCCGACAUCAGAGGACACUAGUAAAUCUUCUUCACAUGAUGAGUAUGAGCCCCCAACAAAAAAGAAAACACUUGCAUCGACUUCAACAUCUGCGGACACUAAUGAAUCUUCUUCACAUAAUGAGUAUGAACCCCCAACAAAAAGACAACUAAGCUUGCAUCGACUUCAACAUCUAGAGCACGG
rnacentral:lncRNA from 1 species